CGUACACUCCUACGGGAGGCAGCAGUGGGGAAUAUUGCACAAUGGGCGCAAGCCUGAUGCAGCCAUGCCGCGUGUAUGAAGAAGGCCUUCGGGUUGUAAAGUACUUUCAGCGGGGAGGAAGGCGAUAAGGUUAAUAACCUUGUCGAUUGACGUUACCCGCAGAAGAAGCACCGGCUAACUCCGUGCCAGCAGCCGCGGUAAUACGGAGGGUGCAAGCGUUAAUCGGAAUUACUGGGCGUAAAGCGCACGCAGGCGGUCUGUCAAGUCGGAUGUGAAAUCCCCGGGCUCAACCUGGGAACUGCAUUCGAAACUGGCAGGCUAGAGUCGUGUAGAGGGGGGUAGAAUUCCAGGUGUAGCGGUGAAAUGCGUAGAGAUCUGGAGGAAUACCGGUGGCGAAGGCGGCCCCCUGGACAAAGACUGACGCUCAGGUGCGAAAGCGUGGGGAGCAAACAGGAUUAGAAACCCCAGUAGUCCCAUGAU
rnacentral:rRNA from 1 species